rnacentral:lncRNA from 1 species
UUCCAAAAGAUGCCUCUCUCUCUCUCUCUCUCUCUCUGUAUAUCUCUCUGCCUAUAAAAUCCAAUCCUUGCGAGCAACAAGCGCGCAUCGUCCCCGAAAAAGGGUCAUUAAGACGAGGGAAAAAAUAGUACAAUAAUAGCCAUUCACAAAAGUUAUCCCCUCCAUCUCUCUCCCUCCUUGAGAACUGGGUUCUCUUGACCAUUGUGGGUAUAGCACUGCAAUGUGACCGCCAC